rnacentral:rRNA from 1 species
UACGUAGGGCGCAAGCGUUGUCCGGAUUCACUGGGUGUAAAGGGUGCGUAGGCGGGAAGGUAAGUCCGCGGUGAAAUCUCACAGCUCAACUGUGAAACUGCCGUUGAUACUGCUUUUCUUGAGUUCGGGAGAGGUUGAUGGAAUUCCAGGUGUAGCGGUGAAAUGCGUAGAUAUCUGGAAGAACACCAGUGGCGAAGGCGGUCAACUGGCCC